rnacentral:misc_RNA from 1 species
CUGUAUAUGAAGGAACAAAAAUGAUUCCAUAAGAUGCAAAUACUGCAGCAUCACUAAAAGUAAAUGACAGCAACAUGACAAACCAAUCACCACAACAUCAAACCAUUAAAUUGUAUGGACUAGUGAAAAGAAUUAUCCCACACAAUAUGCCGGUGAAGAAUAAAAGCUGGGAAUGAACCUCUCAGAGAUUUGAUAUUAAAAAUUUAGCUUCCACCCCACAACUAGAAGAUAGCGAGAGAGAAAGAAGAUCAUAUCCAUCUUCUCAGUUAACAAUGCCCAAAUCCAAUUGCUCAUCCAUCAGAAGGUUUUUAAGCAAAAAUCACCCAUAUUUCCUUUCCCAAGGGUCCCCACAAUCAAGCUUCUUAACAUUCCUCUUACCAACAUCAUCACCUAAACUAUGGUAUGGUCAAUUUUACCCAAUUCCCUCACCUGCUCAUAGUCAUAACCACAAUUGAUUCAUCCUAACUCCUACACUUAGCAUGUCCAUAACAACACUGUCUAGAAGAAUGCAUUGUAACUGAGUAGCUUGAGAACCAUGAUAGGCACAUAAAAGUAUACAGUCAGAUUGUAAAAUAAAUUAUCUCAAGAAAUAUUAAUGUCCAAAGAUGUAUUACAGCAGCACAUAUGAUACAACGUACAAAUAAUGUUAACUCCAGUCCCCCCCACCCAAGGUUAUUGAGACAGAGACCUUAUGUUCCAACCCAUCCGUAAAUACAACAAGUACAACAGAAGAAAGCACAGAUGAUACAUACGGGUCAGCACGGCAGAGUCGACAU